rnacentral:tRNA from 1 species
UGGUCCGUAGCUCAAAUGGUAGCAGCGCUUGACUUUUAAUCAAGAGGAUAUGAGUUCAAAUCUCAUCGGACCAA